GAUUCAAAAAUGUAUGGGUACAUAAAUAUAAUUAAUUAGGUAGGUAUUAUAAAAAAAAAUAAGAAUACAAAAACACGUGUUCGUGUAUUUUACGAAAUGCUAACAAAAGCUUUAUGUAAAAGGAGAUAGCUGAAUGAAACCCCCAUCUUAGAAAUUCCAGAGUUUGGUAAGGAAAAUUUUCAAGAAAAUAAGAAGAAAAGAUCACAAAGAACUGAAUCAUCUGUUGAGAACGAUGAAACAGGCCAUGAUAAAAUUGUUUCCAAAGUUAAUAAAGCUACAGAAAGUAAUGGAUCUGAUGAGGAGGAUACAUCAGGUUCUGACGAUGAUCGACGUCGGAGCACAAAAGGUAUUUUACCUGAUGAAUUUGAACAUGAGAAUGCAGACUCGCCUUCACAAUGGAAUGUUCCAGGAGGUGGUAUUUGGGAUAUUUUGAGCGACCUGUGCCAACAGUACGA